rnacentral:lncRNA from 1 species
GGGGCUUCUGACCCACGAGCCCGCUGGCGGCCGGGCCUGCUCCCACACAAUACCCAGAAGUCCCUGGGCCGCUCGCGCUGAGGAUUGCCGUGGAGAUGGCGAGACGCCGGAAGUCUGGGGAAAGAGGCGGGGCCAGGCCGGAGGCGGGACUUCGAUUGGUGGAGAGGCCUCAGCUUCUGGAGCCGGCAGUGGCACCCGCGCAUUGCGGGGACCCGCCGCCUUUCCGUGCCGCCUGCCGGGAUCGGAGAGCCUGGGUUGGCCCGCUGGGUCGCUGGCCGCGCCGGGCCUCGUUCCCGAGCGGAGAGGCCCCGCCGCGGCUUCCCGGGGUCCACGGUGUCUCCCCCGCCUGUGUGACGCCACAGUCCCUGAGUGGGCUGAGCAAAUCUGAAGCCGUUGUGAGCUCUGUGCCGCCCUGUACCCCUCUUUCUGGAAAUGGUAGGCCUCUUCGUGCUCUCUGCGCCUCGGUUUCCCCUUUUGUGAAAUGUUCCGCGGAGCUCAAGCUCAGCGGCCUCGAGCAGGGUGCAUAGGCCCCGUGCCUCGGUUUCCCCAUCUGUGAAAUGAGGGUGAUUGUGGAAUUCGCCUCGGUAGGCUUGUUGCGAGGACUGAGGGUUCCUAAGCACAGUGGUCCUCAUGUAGUGACUACUCCUGUCAGUGGCUUUGGUAACCGUCGCCCUCACUUGGGGCUGAGGAUUUGGGCAAGCCACCCCUUCCCUUGGCAUCUGGGAAGUUGAUCUGCGAGCUGAGUAUACUGGGUUUUGUGGCCGCUAAGCUUUCUUCUGAGCACGCAACGAAUGGCUUUUUCCUCGCUGAGGGAUGCUACAGGUUUCGUGCUAAGACACUGAGUUCCAGAAACCGCGUAUUGCCAUGUCCAAUGCUGUUUGACCCCUGUCAGUCCUCGCCUUUCAGUGAGCCACGAGUUUCCUCGGGAUUAAGUGAUGGGAACUUGUAAUUCUCGUUUCUGGUCCAGGCACUGCCCUGACUUUGCUUGAGGACCUUGGACAGGACACCACUGGGAACAACACAGGGUGCACCCCUAAACUUGGAGUUUCUUUCACUGAGGAAGCCCAGUUAGUAGUUCUAGGGCCUCCCUGCCCUCCCUCCACCUGGUGCCCUCAUUGUGUUGCCCAGCAUCUUGUUGCUGUCAAUCUGAGGUCUGCCUGCCCCAUUGCUUAUAAAUGCUUGUCUUAAAAGUUGUGGGAAAGUUCAGGCCCUGUCCUGUUUCCCUUGUGGCAUCUCUGAGCAGAAGGGACGAACUAAGCGCCCUGGCUGAGGCCCUGGAGGCAGAAGGCAUGGGCCACCCUGCUGCAUUUGUUCAGGGAAUCUGCUCCCUUUCUAACUCUCCUCCAGUCUCUCUUGUUAGUGUGGGGGGUGUGUGUCGGUAACAGCUCCAAAGUUCUCCAGUCUCUUUGGGAUCCAGUUUCUCUAUUAUACGUCCUGUUAUCACUGUCUUCUCUGUAAGUAACACUGGUGUUCCAUACUAUACUAUAACAUUUUAUCUUUUAAACAAAUUUGGUACAUUCAGUGGUUCUUAAAUUUGGCACAUGUUGAAGCCACUUGAAAACUUGUAAUUCUAGUUUCUGACCAGGCACUGCCCUGACUUUGCUUGGGGACCUUGGACAAGACACCACUGGUAACAACACAGGGUGCACCCCUAAACUUGGAGUUUCUUUCCCUGAGAAAGCCCAGUUAGGCACUAUGCUGGCAGGGCGAGUUGGUGGACACCUGUAAUCCUAGGGGCUCUGGAGCCUGAGGCAGGAGGAUUGCAAGCUCAAAGGCAGCCUCACCAAAAGCGAGGCACUAAGCAACUCAGACCCUGUCUCUAAAUAAAAUACAAAAUAAGGCUGGGGAUGUGGCUCAGUGUCAGUGUGCCCCUGAGUUCACUGUGCGGAACUCCCCUCCAGAGGUUGGCUCAGAUGUCUUGGUGAGAGCCUAGGGCAGUGUGAUUCAAAGUUGCUCAGAGAACUCUAAUGUGCAAAAGAUGGAGGGGCACUGACUAGACGCCCUCCAAGUUCUGUGUGGCCCACUGUUCACCAGUUCUCUCAUUCCCAAGCAUGCAAAGGGUCUUUGCCUGUCCCCACCUUUUGCUGCCCUCCCCUGUUCACUGCCGGCCCAUCACUGCCUCCUAAGCUAGCAGCUGGGAGAAUCCAUUCCCUACUUCCUCAGCUGCCGGAGCUCUGGCAGGCCUUCGCGCAGUCUUUCCUCCGUGGGCAAGCCAGCGGCCUGAGGUCGUCCUCUGUGACCCCAACACCGACUCCCACUUGAGGGCCCUAUGUUAUGGGCCCCCAGGUGAUCCAGGGUGACCUCCCUAGUUUAAAGCAGCUGAGCAGCAGCUUUGAUUCUGCUCAGCCCUGCUCACCCUGCUGGGGCACCUCACCUGUUCACAGCGGCUGCGGAUUAGGACAUGGACAUAUUCUUCAGGGUGGGAAGGGGUAGUGUUCUGAUCACUGGGUCCCUAGGGUGAGUCAUGUGACUUCUUCCAGUCUGUUUUACCAACUCAGAGAUGGGUACAGUGAUUCUUUCCACUCAGAGCUGCUGUCAGGUAUAAAACAGGGUCCGUCUGUGGCACACAGAAACCCUGAAUGCUGGCUCCAUCCCUCCUUGCUGUGUUAAUUUUGACAUAUAGUUGCCUCCGUAACUGUUACUUUGUCUGAACCUCAAAGCCACUCUGUUCCCGUGUUACAGAUGGAGAACAUGAGGCUUAAAGAAAUGGAUUCCCGGCCUCUGGGUUAUGUGGCUUCUAAGAGGCAAGCCAGGACAGAAACCCAGGGUUCUUGGCAUGAAACCCAUGCUUACCCCUUCUGGUUCAUUAUCACCUCCAGAAACUGAAAUAAGAAACUGCAUUAAGGCCUCUGUCUAUACAAUGUCUUUGUGCCCGUUGCCUUAUCUGCACCUUUACUAUGUAUAGUGUCCCUAGCACUUGGCCCUGUCCCCAGCAUGGCAUGGGUGCUCUGAGUGAUCAUGCCCGACUGCCCCCAGUGCACAGUAGAGGAGGUGAUGGCCUGGUAUGUCUCUGGGGAAAGUUCACGGGUUUCCACAGGAUGUGCAGAAAGGGAAGACCCAGAUUCAAAACAGCCCUAGUCCUGCCUAGGUCUUCCCAGAGACCAGCCCCAUCAUAGAGCCACUCAUUACAGAAGUCACUAACCACCCUGGAGAUCCCAAGGGUUUCAGGAGCUGUGUGGCCGAAAAGGAACCAAGACCAGCUGCACAUUUUACCUCGUGCUUUUAUGGGUGGCAGCCACCGUUGAUGCCUGGAUCUGCUUGAGGAUCUCCAAAUUGCCAUAGAAGGCAUCUGUUGAACGGGUCUGUCUAACUGGAGCACACAAAUCAUCAAAGUAGGAAGAAAGUCAUCUUUAUGGUAAAGAAAUUGGACUACCUUCAGGUUGGUUCUGAGUUUCUGCAUGUUAUCUUUAGAGGAGUAGGCCCAGUGAACCUACCUCUUAUUUAACUCAAUGAGGUUUGAGUAUUUUAAUAAUAGGAAUUUUUGUUAUCCACUGACCAUGUAGUUAGGAAACACUAUAGUACAGAUGUGGGCGAUCUCACAUCACCCUGACCCGUGCUCCUUGGCUCCCUUUUCUACUGGCAAACACUGUACUAAAUUGGUAUUUACUAUUUCUGUGCCAGAGCUUAUAUUUUUAUCACAGAUAUGUGUGUCUUGUUUUGCACAUAGUGAAAUUUUAAAUACAUGGUGUCAUACUAUACAUCUGCUAGAAGUUAGGCAUUGCCAUGAGACUCUCAUGAGGUUACAUAAAGAAAAAAUUAGGACAUUUAUUCAAUUAUUUCACCCUUUAAAAAUCUAUUUUUUAGUUUUUUUUUUUCUAUGUAUAAGAUCUAUUUGUACGGUGUGUUUGUAACUUUUCUAAGUUCUUAAGUACAGGUGUAGGUCAUCUGACCUAGCCCUCCUCCCAAGGGGGCCAUCUGUGGCCCAGCUGUGUCCACUCCAGGGACACUGUCCCAAUGCUUGCUUUAGGCUGAGUCCUUGCUUCUGCUCCAGGGCUGGACUCUUCACCCACACGGAGACCCCACCCCAAGGCCUGCAGACAGAAAAAUUGAAAACAAAUAUACUACUUCUCAAUAACUCUAAGUAGCUCUUGAAUGCCUCGCAUCGGGGUUUGCAACAACGGGGUAUUCCAACGUGUCACGCCCUCCCAAGUACUGGUUGGCGUCUGUAAAGAGCCUCUACUCCACGCGGGGCAUAUCCUGCUUUGUAUCUCUAUGUACUCAUGGCUGCUUAUGUGUUAAAACAUGUUGAAGUCCAUCCAGAGGGGUGCUUUAUGCCCCGAAGGGCUGCCUUGCAUCUGGACAGAGGGGUGCUUCCAGGCUGGCGGGUAGACCGCCGGUCGCACCUGGUCAGGAGAGCGCUUUACCUCGCUGUCACAUGUGCAGCCGCUCCUGCCUUGGCACCUGAAGAUCAGUCCUCUCACCGGGUUUGCACCGCUCUCCUUGGUGGGGAGUGGUGGCCGCAAUCUUGGCUCCCGGGCCUCGGGAGCCGAGUUCACAGCACCCUGCAGUUCUUCCCCGUCCAGCCCCUGAGCCCACCUGCUGUGCAGCCCCCCAGGGCUGCUGUGCCCAUACCUGCCUGCUGCCUGUCCGGUCAGUCCUGUGGGACUGUCUAAGGGUGACGUCGGUGCGUGACUGCAGAAGGAAGGUUCUGCUCUUGGUGUGGUCAGUUUCUUAUAAGCGUAGAUUUGUGUUUCUGCCGUUUUUGAAUUUUAUGGAUUGUGCCUCGCUCCCUUUGUUUUUAUUUUUCAUUUGCCGUUUUUUGCCAAGGCCCUGCACGUGCAAAGCACGUACCUGUCACUGAGCUAUAUCCACUAUAUCCCACUGCCCCUUCAUUUUUAUUUUGAGUAUACACAAUAACUGCAUGAUUCAAAAGUCAAAUUUAUUUAAAAAGGUGGGCAAGCGGAGGUUCAUUCCGACCCCAUUUCCAUGGAUCCAUUGUACAUGUAACCAUCUUCAUUUGUUUUUAGUGAUUUUUCUGUGUUUCUUACAAAGGAUGGAACAGUGCAUGUGCCCAUUUAUGCUCUCCAGUUUGACUCAACAAAUUUCCUGAAAACCAUUUUCUUAACAGGUGCCAAGUUUAUCCAGAUCUUCUCCUGUCUGUGUGCGUGUGUUUGUGUGUUGCUCUGUGUCUUGGUUAAUAUUUAGUGAUUAUGGAUUUUAAAUUUUUAUCAUG